GAUGAACGCUGGCGGCGUGCCUAAUACAUGCAAGUCGAGCGAACAGACGAGGAGCUUGCUCCUCUGACGUUAGCGGCGGACGGGUGAGUAACACGUGGAUAACCUACCUAUAAGACUGGGAUAACUUCGGGAAACCGGAGCUAAUACCGGAUAAUAUAUUGAACCGCAUGGUUCAAUAGUGAAAGACGGUUUUGCUGUCACUUAUAGAUGGAUCCGCGCCGCAUAGCUAGUUGGUAAGGUAACGGCUUACCAAGGCAACGAUGCGUAGCCGACCUGAGAGGGUGAUUGGCCACACUGGAACUGAGACACGGUCCAGACUCCUACGGGAGGCAGCAGUAGGGAAUCUUCCGCAAUGGGCGAAAGCCUGACGGAGCAACGCCGCGUGAGUGAUGAAGGUCUUCGGAUCGUAAAACUCUGUUAUUAGGGAAGAACAAAUGUGUAAGUAACUAUGCACGUCUUGACGGUACCUAAUCAGAAAGCCACGGCUAACUACGUG
rnacentral:rRNA from 1 species